rnacentral:rRNA from 1 species
ACACAUGCAGUCGAGCGGAUGAAGGGAGCUUGCUCCUGGAUUCAGCGGCGGACGGGUGAGUAAUGCCUAGGAAUCUGCCUGGUAGUGGGGGAUAACGUCCGGAAACGGGCGCUAAUACCGCAUACGUCCUGAGGGAGAAAGUGGGGGAUCUUCGGACCUCACGCUAUCAGAUGAGCCUAGGUCGGAUUAGCUAGUUGGUGGGGUAAAGGCCUACCAAGGCGACGAUCCGUAACUGGUCUGAGAGGAUGAUCAGUCACACUGGAACUGAGACACGGUCCAGACUCCUACGGGAGGCAGCAGUGGGGAAUAUUGGACAAUGGGCGAAAGCCUGAUCCAGCCAUGCCGCGUGUGUGAAGAAGGUCUUCGGAUUGUAAAGCACUUUAAGUUGGGAGGAAGGGCAGUAAGUUAAUACCUUGCUGUUUUGACGUUACCAACAGAAUAAGCACCGGCUAACUUCGUGCCAGCAGCCGCGGUAAUACGAAGGGUGCAAGCGUUAAUCGGAAUUACUGGGCGUAAAGCGCGCGUAGGUGGUUCAGCAAGUUGGAUGUGAAAUCCCCGGGCUCAACCUGGGAACUGCAUCCAAAACUACUGAGCUAGAGUACGGUAGAGGGUGGUGGAAUUUCCUGUGUAGCGGUGAAAUGCGUAGAUAUAGGAAGGAACACCAGUGGCGAAGGCGACCACCUGGACUGAUACUG